rnacentral:lncRNA from 1 species
AGAGCUAUGGGGCACGGAUCUAUGGGGCAGAAAUCAAUGGGGUAUCCAUGGGGUGAAUCUAUGGGGCAGCAUCUAUGGGGCAGGGAGAGCUAUGGGGCAGCAUCUAUGGGGCAGCACGGAUCUAUGGGGCAGCACGGAUCUAUGGGGCAGGGAAAGCUGUGGGGCAGAGCUGGGGGGCAGCACGGAUCUAUGGGGCAGAGCUAUGGGGCAGAAAUCUAUGGGGCAGCACGGAGCUAUGGAGCAGGGUUGUGGGUCCAGCUGUAGCUAUAGGGGAGGGAGAGCUAUGGGGCACGGAUCUAUGGGGCAGGAGACCGAAAUCUAUGGGGCAGGAGACCGAAAUCUAUGGGGUCGAUUACAUCUAUGGGGCUGGAGGCUGAAAUCUAUGGGGCAGGAGAGCAAAAUCUAUGGGGCCAAAAUCUAUGGGGCAAGAGACCAAAAUCUAUGGGGCAGGAGACUGAAAUCUAUGGGUCUGAAGGUCUCUAUGGGUCUGAAGGUCUCUAUGGGGCCAAAAUCUAUGGGGCAGGAGAGAGAAAUCUAUGGGUCAGAAGUUCUUGAUGGAGCCAAAAUCUAUGGGGCAGGAGACCAAAAUCUAUGGGUCUGAAGGUCUCUAUGGGGUCAAAAUCUAUGGGGCAGGAGGCCUCUAUGGGGCAGGAGACUGAAAUCUAUGGGGCAGGAGAGAGAAAUCUAUGGGUCCGAAGGUCCCUAUGGGGCCAAAAUCUAUGGGGCAGGAGGCCUCUAUGGGGCAGGAGACUGAAAUCUAUGGGGCAGGAGAGGGAAAUCUAUGAGUCAGAAGGUCUCUAUGGGGCCAAAAUCUAUGGGGCAGGAGGUCUCGAUGGAGCCAAAAUCUAUGGGG